rnacentral:rRNA from 1 species
GAUCAUGGCUCAGGAUGAACGCUAGCUACAGGCUUAACACAUGCAAGUCGAGGGGCAGCAUGGUCUUAGCUUGCUAAGACUGAUGGCGACCGGCGCACGGGUGAGUAACACGUAUCCAACCUGCCGUCUACUCUUGGACAGCCUUCUGAAAGGAAGAUUAAUACAAGAUGGCAUCAUGAGUCCGCAUGUUCAUACGACUAAAGGUAUUCCGGUAGACGAUGGGG